rnacentral:rRNA from 1 species
GUAAGGAAUAUUGGACAAUGGACGCAAGUCUGAUCCAGCCAUGCCGCGUGAAGGAUUAAGGUCCUCUGGAUUGUAAACUUCUUUUAUAAGGGACGAAAAAAGGCUUUUCUAAGUCGUCUGACGGUACCUUAUGAAUAAGCACCGGCUAACUCCGUGCCAGCAGCCGCGGUAAUACGGAGGGUGAAAGCGUUAUCCGGAUUCACUGGGGUUAAAGGGUGCGUAGUCGGGCAGGUAAGUCAGUGGUAAAAUCCUAGAGCUUAACUCUAGAACUGCCAUUGAUACUAUCUGUCUUGAAUAUUGUGGAGGUAAGCGGAAUAUGUCAUGUAGCGGUGAAAUGCUUAGAUAUGACAUAGAACACCUAUUGCGAAGGCAGCUUACUACGCAUGUAUUGACGCUGAGGCACGAAAGCGUGGGGAUCAAACAGGAUUAGAAACCCGUGUAGUCC